rnacentral:rRNA from 1 species
UACGUAGGGUGCGAGCGUUAAUCGGAAUUACUGGGCGUAAAGCGUGCGCAGGCGGUUAUGUAAGGCAGAGGUGAAAUCCCCGGGCUCAAACUGGGAACUGCCUUUGUGACUGCAUGACUAGAGUACGGCAGAGGGGGAUGGAAUUCCGCGUGUAGCAGUGAAAUGCGUAGAUAUGCGGAGGAACAUCGAUGGCGAAGGCAAUCCCCUGGGCCUGUACUGACGCUCAUGCACGAAAGCGUGGGGAGCAAACAGG